GCCUCGGGGGGGGGGGGGGGGGCUGGUCUGGCCCCACUCAUGUUAGCUGCCCUGGGGCAAAACCUGGCAGUUUGCUAACAUCCAAGCAUAACUUCCUAUCUUCAUUUGCAGCAGAUUUGUCUCUGUCCAUUGGGACAUCGAAGACACCCUCACCUAUUCUUUAAUAGAACAGUGCCUUUAAAUAAAGAGCUCUUGCCCUAAACCUUCCACAGGUACUAUAUUAUCUCUUUGUUCCGUUUAUUUGCUGGAAAAGUGCCCACUGACCAGUCCACCGUGUCCAGUCUUCUUAAGUAGCCUGUCAGCCUGUGGAGACCAAGCUGGGAGCACCGGGAGCUUAGGUGCUCAGCAAACACCCCAGACCACAGGUGUAUUCUUAGGAAGGAAAUGACAUCUCUUUGUGACCUCACGCUGUGGAGUCCCCGGCUCUGAUCUUGUAUCUGGUUGAAUGUAAGUGACCUGGUCCAUGAGCAGUGGAGGAAUUCAAAGGCAUGGCUCUGAGGAACAAGAUAACUCAUGUGAGAUAAAAAAGAAGAGGCCUCAGGACUAGGGGUGCAUUCUCAGUGUACAGACAUUUGAC